rnacentral:RNase_P_RNA from 1 species
CGGGCUCCACAGGGCAAGGAUAACGGGUAACGCCCGCCGAAGGCGACUUCAGGAAAAGUGCAACAGAGAGAUACCGCCCCGCGAAAGCGGAGCAAGGGUGGAAAAGUGAGGUAAGAGCUCACUCGCCGGCUGGAGACUGUCCGGCGCUGUAAACUCUAUCCGGAGCAACACCGUGGAGGAGACACAUGGUUGGCCCGACCGUCUCCGAGGAGGUGGCACAGAGCGUAUCGGCAACGGUACGACAAGAUAGAUGGCUGUCUAAGACAGAACCCGGCUUACAGACCCGAU